CCAUGAGCACAGUGGCGACCGGGUGAGUAACACGUGACUACCUACCCUUGAGUGGGGGAGUAACCUCGGGAAACCGAGGCUAAUACCGCAUAAUAUCGAGAGAUCAAAGGAGCAAUUCGCUUUUGGAGGGGGUCGCGGCUGAUUAGUUAGUUGGCGGGGUAAUGGCCCACCAAGGCGAAGAUCGGUAUCCGGCCUGAGAGGGCGCACGGACACACUGGAACUGAAACACGGUCCAG
rnacentral:rRNA from 1 species